rnacentral:lncRNA from 10 species
GUGCUGAGCAAACACCUCGGCAUUCAUCACUAUGCGGGGGCUGUUUACUGCCUCAUAAACUUGGAAGCAAGUGAUAUUGUCUCCUAAAUCAAUGGCUGCGCGGACAGCCUUGGCGCUCCAGGAGAACAGCACGGCCAGGCCGCGCCCGUGCUGAAAUUAAUGACUGGAGCAGUGACUGGAAGGUGCUUAGUCACUGCCGAGGGGAUUAGGAGCCAUUCCAGGGGACGAGCAGCCAGCCGAUGCUGAUGAGUCGGGGGCCGGAUGCCCCAACCAGAGCUCUGUGAUUAACCAGCUGAGUAAGCCUGCUUGGACCCCCAGAUCAGAAAGAGUCCAUCUCCCUGAGCUUACCACAGUAUGCACUGACCUAUGAUGGCACAGAUUUCUCUAAACAUGCUGUGCAGGUCAUCCAGCAAUGGAGAAUAUAGAAAACUUCCAGAGAUAGAGAAGCCCUUCUGCUUCCAGCCCCCUGAUAAGGUAUAAGAGAGACAGAUUUUUAAUAAUGUAUAUCCAAAUAGGAGAGAAAAAGAUUCUGAAACUCUAACCUUGAGACGACUCUAACCCUACAUAUGAUAUAUGACCAGCAGCCACAUGUUUUCCAUCAUUUUAAAAUAGACUUUUAUGUAUUUUAGAAAUGUUUUCCAUAAGCAUGUAUUUCUUCAACAAUCACAAAACAUUAAAUUUAUAAUAAAACGAAUAUGAAGAUGAAAGAGAAGAGACCCACAGAGUCUUUUCUACAUUUUUCCAUCCUGAAUUAUACACACACACACACACACACACACAUGCACACAGAGGUUUUAUUUUUAAAACUAAAAUGGUGGUUUUUAAUGGGAACCAGAGGUUAGACAAUUACAUAGUCCAGCACAAAAAACCUGCGGGUGAUCAGGAGUUGGAAGGUUACAAAGUAAUGAAGGUAACACUGGAUGUAAGAAGAAAAACUGUUCCAGAAUCUCGGGAGUCAGGCUAAUACAACCUCUCCUGCAAUCCUGUCUGUGCUCACUCCUGGAGCCCAUCUUGCCAAGGCCAAAGCUGCCUCUGUCCUCACCACCCCAACCCCCUUGGAAGUCCUUACAGUCCCCACCACAGCCCCAGUAGCCACCUUGAUCAUAGCCUCCUCUGCCACCAUGACAAUCAUCUCCAUAGUUACCCCCAUAUGAAACUUUUCCUGCAGCCUGGAAAAGGUCGUCUUGGGCAGAAAGCUGUGCUGCUG